CCGAGAUUGGGUUCAUGUCUUUGGUUUAACAUGUUCUCCCCGUGUCUGUCUGGUUUUUCUCCCUUUUUUUUUAACAACAUUGUAGUCAAGUAAAGCAUGUUCACAGCAAAUACAGCAUGUUUUUGCGAUCCAAACAUAUUGAUAUGUUGGAAGACUGAAGGGGCAUUGGGGAGUUUAUAAAAAUCACUGACAGAAGGCCCAGAUGUUGGAGCGUGACUGUGGGGAUUAGUGAUCAUUCAGCUAGACGAGCAUUAGUAAGAUCAGACACUGAUGUUGUAAGAGUGAGGAGGUCUGGGGUUCAGUCGGUGUUCCAGUUCAUCCCAAAGGUCUUCAGUGGGGUUGAGUCAGAGUCAGGGCUCCGUGCAGGACUCUCAAGUUCUUCUACACCAACCUUCUCAAACCAUGUCUUUAUGGAGCUCUGUGCUUCAUGUACAGGGGCACUGACAAGGAAUUAAUGCUUCAGCAUACACAGACAGUUGUUGGUUCCAACAAUUUGGCAAUAAUUAGUGGAAGGCCCACAAAUCGGUGUGGUGUUUAAGUGUCCACAUACUUUUGGUCAUGUCCUGUAUAUAAUACUAAAUCAUUUGACUUACUGUCUGGAUAAUGCACAAGCAGUAAUAACAGAAUAGUUUACUUUGUUUGCCUUGGCUUAAUAUCAAGAUUUCUCUGGCAUGUCAACAUGUUAAUGGUUCUUCUUUCAUAACUGAAAAUUCUUUUAUUAUGUAACGUCCACAAAAAUGAUUGACUUCUAUUGUUAAAAGGCAAAUAAGAAGAAUAUAGAUGAUCCACAGACCAUCAUCACUGCUGAAUGACAGCUUUAUAACAUUAUUGUAUGAACUGUAAAACCAGACUGCAAAACUGCCAUUGUUCAUUAGUGAAAAACUUUUGCUAUUCACCACAAAAGAUUUUUUAUUCAACUUUUGUGAAUUUGCACCACAAUUAUUAUUUUUUUACUGCUUUGCACUCAUCUGUGGACCGUCAACAAUCUGCCAAGUGACUCACAUCCAUCAUCCUAAAAAGUAAUAAUAUACACAAUCUAUACACAACAUAUAGAUGCUAUAUCAACUUGUCUCAUCAAUUCUAUAGUCCCAGUUAUAAUUGUCACAGUGUAGUAGAUUAUAUAGACUUCCCUUUUCCUUUAUUUGGAUAGCGUAAAUUAUAGCUCUUGAUAUGUGGUAGAACAUCAUUAGAGUAUGAACUUGUGGCCCUUGUACUGGCUUGUAUGUCCCUGGUCCUGUCACAACUUCAAGCUUGUGAUGUGAAUGUGGUGCUUUAGUGGUUAAGGUGUUAGACUGAUCAGUUAGGCUGUGAUUCUGAAUUCCAGGUCCACCAAGCUGGCACUGCAGGGCCCUUGAGCAAGGCCCUUAACCCUCAAUUGCUCAAUUAUAUAAAAAUGAGAUAAAAUGUAAUUCACAAUAAAUAAGGACGUCGGUCAAAAUGCCGUAAAUGUAUAUGCAGUUUAUGUGAACUAUACUGAUACAUUUUAAGGUACACUGAUCAACCAUAACAUUAUGAACACUGACAGGUGAAGUGUAUAACACUGAUGAUCUCCUCAUCAUGGCACCUGUUAGUGGGUGGGAUAUAUCAGGCAGCAAGUGAACAUUUUGUCCUCAAAGUUGAUGUGUUAGAAACAGGAAAAAUGGACAAGGGUAAGGAUUUGAACGAGUCUGACAAGGGCCAAAUUGUGAUGGCUAGACCUCUGGAUCAGAGCAUCUCCAAAACUGCAGCACUUGUGGGGUGUUCCUGGGCUGCAGUGGUCAGUAUCUAUCAAAAGUGGUCCAGGGAAGGAACAGUGGUGAACCGGCGACAGGGUCAUGGGCGGCCAAGGCUCACUGAUGCACAUGGGGAGAGAAGGCUGGCCCGUGUGAUCCGAUCCAACAGACGAGCUACUGUUGCUCAAAGUGCUGAAGAAGUUAAUGCUGGUUCUGAUAGAAAGGUGUCAGAAUACACAGUGCAGGACGGGUCAGGGCUGUUUUGGCAGCAAAAGAGGGACCAACACAAUA